UUGUAGUGUGACAUGCCCGUUUGGGUUUUACUCCGAUGUUGAACAAUUAUUAUUUAAUUGAUUUUGGGAAACGGGGUGUUACAUUUACA
rnacentral:pre_miRNA from 1 species